UACGUAGGGGGCUAGCGUUGUUCGGAUUUACUGGGCGUAAAGGGCGCGUAGGCGGCGUGACAAGUCACUUGUGAAAUCUCCGGGCUUAACUCGGAACGGUCAAGUGAUACUGUCGUGCUAGAGUACAGAAGGGGCAACUGGAAUUCUCGGUGUAGCGGUGAAAUGCGUAGAUAUCGGGAGGAACACCUAUGGCGAAGGCAGCUCGCUGGGACGUUACUGACGCUGAGACGCGAAAGCGUGGGGAGCAAACAGG
rnacentral:rRNA from 1 species